AGCGAAAUGCGAUAACUAAUGUGAAUUGCAGAAUUCAGUGAAUCAUCGAGUCUUUGAACGCACCUUGCGCCCUUCGGUAUUCCGAAGGGCAUGCCUGUUUGAGUGUCAUU
rnacentral:rRNA from 1 species